UGAUCCGGGGAUAUCCGAAUGGGGAAACCCGCUAGUGGUUAUACGCUAGCACCAUAUGGUGAAUACAUAGCCAUAUAGGAGACAGACCCAGGGAACUGAAACAUCUAAGUACCUGGAGGAAAAGAAAGAAAAAUCGAUUCCCGUAGUAGCGGCGAGCGAAGUGGGAAGAGCCCAAACCGGAUUUAUCCGGGGUUGUAGGACCUUCAUAAUUGACAAAUCAUGAUAGCCGAAUGGUCUGGGAAGGCCAACCGUAGGGGGUGAGAGUCCCGUAGGUGAAAUUGUGAGAUGCAUGGAAGGAAUCCUGAGUACGGCGGGACACGUGGAAUCCCGUCGGAAUCAACGAGGACCAUCUCGUAAGGCUAAAUACUACCUAGUGACCGAUAGUGAACCAGUACCGUGAGGGAAAGGUGAAAAGAACCCCGGAAGGGGAGUGAAAGAGAACCUGAAACCGUGUGCCUACAAAUAGUCAGAGCCCGUUAAUGGGUGAUGGCGUGCCUUUUGUAGAAUGAACCGGCGAGUUACGAUAUCGUGCGAGGUUAAGCAGAAGAUGCGGAGCCGUAGCGAAAGCGAGUCUGAAUAGGGCGAAGAGUACGAUGUUGUAGACCCGAAACCGUGUGAGCUAGCCAUGAGCAGGCUGAAGGUCAGGUAACACUGACUGGAGGGCCGAACCAGGGCACGUUGAAAAGUGCUUGGAUGACUUGUGGCUAGGGGUGAAAUUCCAAUCGAACACGGAUAUAGCUGGUUCUCUCCGAAAUAGCUUUAGGGCUAGCCUCGAUGUUAAGUCUACUGGAGGUAGAGCACUGAAUGGGUGAUGGCCCCACCUCGGGGUACUGAUCUCAAUCAAACUCCGAAUGCCAGAUAGAUAUAAUCGGGAGUCAGACUGUGGGUGAUAAGGUCCAUGGUCAAAAGGGAAAGAGCCCAGACCGCCAGCUAAGGCCCCCAAGUGUCCGUUAAGUGGAAAAGGAUGUGGAGAUGCACAGACAACUAGGAGGUUGGCUUAGAAGCAGCCAUCCUUUAAAGAGUGCGUAAUAGCUCACUAGUCGAGUGACUCUGCGCCGAAAAUGUACCGGGGCUAAACGGACCGCCGAAGCUGCGGAUUGACUUUAGAGUCAGUGGUAGGAGAGCGUUCUAACAGCGGUGAAGCAGUACCGGAAGGAGCUGUGGAGCGGUUAGAAGUGAGAAUGCCGGUGUGAGUAGCGAAAGAUAGGUGAGAAUCCUAUCCAUCGAAAGCCUAAGGUUUCCAGGGGAAGGCUCGUCCGCCCUGGGUAAGUCGGGACCUAAGGUGAGGCCGAAAGGCGUAGCCGAUGGACAACAGGUUGAUAUUCCUGUACCACUUAUUAAACUGAUGGAGUGACGGAGAAGGCUAAGUUGAGCGUGUGAUUGGAUUCACGUGUAAGCAGUGAGGUGGUCAUGUAGGCAAAUCCGCAUGGCAUAACAUUGAGCUGUGAUGCCGAAGCCGAAUGGCGAAGUCAACUGACGUCACGCUUCCAAGAAAAGCUUCUAGGGUUAAUUUAAUAAGUGCCCGUACCGAUAACCGACACAGGUAGGCGAGGAGAGAAUCCUAAGAUGAGCGAGAGAACUCUUGUUAAGGAACUCGGCAAAAUGACCCCGUAACUUCGGGAGAAGGGGUGCUUGUGAAAGCAAGCCGCAGUGAAUAGGCCCAGGCGACUGUUUAUCAAAAACACAGGUCUCUGCUAAACCGCAAGGUGAUGUAUAGGGGCUGACGCCUGCCCGGUGCUGGAAGGUUAAGAGGAGAGGUUAGCGCAAGCGAAGCUUUGAAUUGAAGCCCCAGUAAACGGCGGCCGUAACUAUAACGGUCCUAAGGUAGCGAAAUUCCUUGUCGGGUAAGUUCCGACCCGCACGAAAGGCGUAACGAUCUGGGCGCUGUCUCAACAAGAGACUCGGUGAAAUCAUAGUACCUGUGAAGAUGCAGGUUACCCGCGACAGGACGGAAAGACCCCGUGGAGCUUUACUGUAGCUUGAUAUUGAGACUCGGUGGCACAUGUACAGGAUAGGUAGGAGACGAAGAAACCAGGACGCCAGUCUUGGUGGAGUCGCUGUUGGGAUACUACCCUUGUGUUACUGGGGUUCUAACCCGU
rnacentral:rRNA from 1 species